GUCAUUUUCAAGUCAGAUUAUUUUAGGUUUUCACUUUCUGCAAAGGUUUUAAUCUAUCUGUACCCUGAAAGGAUUAAUGGGACAGUAAAGCGAGUCCAACAUUGGCACUUAUAUGAUAGGUCUGUUUUAAAAAAUUAUUUCAGUACUAUAAUUCGUCCCUGGAAAAAUAACUUAAAAGGCCCUGGAGCGCAUAGUGAACACGGCUGGUAAGAUUAUUGGUGCUUCACUCCCCUCCCUGAAGGAAUUGACAAUAAAGCAGACUUUGACUUUGAUUUAACGGUGUUUUGGCACUAAAUUGCGGUGGAAUUACUGAUUGCCACUCUUUGGGUGGAGUCUGCUUGAUUGACACAUCAGCCUGACUAUGUCAGAGAAAGAAGCGAAGGCAUGUUACGCUUGUUUUCUGGCUUGCUUACUAUGCUAUGUCAAUGUCCUGUUGUUUUGGAAUACAGUAAUCCCUCGCUACUUCGCAGUUCACCUAUCGCGGCCUCGGUGCAUCGCGGAUUUUUAUGAAAACAAAUAUUGCGGAUAUAUUCGGUGCAUCGCGGCUUUUUCCGGCGUGCGGGGCUUUGUCUGCCCAUAUGCCUUUACAGCACACUAUUGGCCGGUAGGAGACCAAUGGGAACAUGUUGAUCUGUAUCCUUGCUGAUGAUUGUCUUAGAGCUGUAAGAGCAGCUCUAACCAGGCUUCAUCUCAAUCUCCUGCUACGUAUUCAUCCACUCCUCCACUUCGUUUGUCAGCAGAAUCAGCAGCAUCUCUGAUACACGCUUUGUUUUUUUGUCACAAACGAGGCAGGACAACCAAAUGCAACAUUAUUCACUCUCUUUAUUUGGGGAGAGUUUAAAGGAAACAAGGAGGGCUGGAAUGCCGGCACAGCAGGACUACGAGGCAAGCUGACGAGCCGGUCAGCAAGCUCGUGUCGUACAUCAUCAAAGCAGAAGGGCAUAGCAAGCUUUUUUAAAGCUAUUUAAAAAGUAUUUAAAGAUACAAUAAAGUGUUUAAAAGUAUAAUAAAGUGUUUAAAAAUAAAAUUAUAAAAGUCUUGUGCGGCUGAUUAGUACGUCCGCCUCACAGUUAGGAGGGUACUGUGGAGUUACAUGAUGGAUAGGAUGGUAAAAGAUGGUGCGUGAGAGUGUAUUGGAUUUGGCCCAGGCGAAUUGGCUAAAAUCCAUCCAUCCAUUUUCUGUACCGCUUAGUCCCCACGGGGGUCGCGGGCGUGCUGGAGCCUAUCCCAGCCGUCAUCGGGCAGUAGGCGGGGGACACCCUGAACCGGUUGCCAGCCAAUCGCAGGGCACACAGAGACAAACAACCAUACGCACUCGCACUCACACCUAGGGACAAUUUGGAGUGCUCAAUCGGCCUACCAAGCAUGUUUUUUGGGAUGUGGGAGGAAACCGGAGUGCCCGGAGGAAACUCACGCGGGCCCGGGGAGAACAUGCAAACUCCACACAGGGAGGGCCGGAGGUGGAAUCGAACCCACACCCUCCUAACUGUGAGGCGGACGUGCUAGCCAGUGCGCCACCGAGCCGCUUAAUUGGCUAAAAUGAAAUUCCAAAUUUCAAAGCUUGACAUGGAGGACCUGAAGAAGGGGACCUGAGUAGGGGUUACUUAAAAGUUAGUUCUUCAAAAUUAACUAUUGUUAAAUUGGUGAAGUGGAAUUUGUUGGUUGAACCAGUAAAACUCCAUUCCCGUUCCAAAUUUCACCAGAAGAUGGUGCCAAAGUCAGAUUGACCUAACAUAGUAAAUUAAUAGUUUGAAAAGUCAUCGAUUAGAUGAAGACUUGUUCUGAAGCACAGCAACACACAAUUUUGGAUUAUGUUAUAUUAUUUUGUUUUGCUGUAAUAUACUCUGAAACUGCUUGAAUAUUUUAAUUUGCUAACUAGGGAAGCCCAUGCUCAUUGUUAGGUAAUGAGAAUGAGAAUGAGACAUGUUAAUCACAGUUAGAGUAAGCUGCAAUAUACUUUAUUUUAUUUUGUUUUGCAAUAUUGUAUAGUUAGUAGCAUCUUGAGCAACAUCAUAGCACUGAUGUUUCAUUUACACAUGAAUGUAUUAAGAGUUGAGUAAGGACAAGGGGCUAAGGACAGUGAUACCGUGGGUGGUAGACUGCAAUCCCACGCUUGAGCUUGACCUAGAGGUCACCAGCUUGUAAAAAUACGUUUUGAAGAUGCUUGAGUGGUUUAACCUGCUAACUAAGAGAGUCAACGAUCAUAGUUAUGAUUAUGUGGUAAAUUGACUAUUGUGAAAGUAUGUGUUAGUAUUGUCAUGAUGGUUGAUCAGUAUCAAACAUGUAUGGAAUAUUGAUGUUCCAUUUACACAUGAAUGUAUGAAUGUGAGCGUGAACUCGGUCACGUGCAUCAAGUUGAAGCCUAAACAAAAUGCUGUUUGACGGAACACAAGUCAGAGAAAAAACAUUUGCAAAUGUCACGUUGAUGGACAGUUGACAAGAUUUGGGAGUGGGAAACCGGAUGAAGCAUCCCUGAGAAAAUUGUUACUUCCCUGAAAACAUGGUCAUCUCAUCUGGUUGAAUCCGGUUGAGACCGGCUGAGAUGCAGGUGCAGUCUAUUCUGGAAGCAUUUGGGUCAUUUGAGGCCAAUGUAUGACGUCAUGGAAAAAAACUGGUACGUGACAAAGCAGGCAUAGAACUCACGAACUGGACUGGUAUAAAAGGUUCCUUCGAACAAAGAGCAGGGCUCUCUCUCUCGCCCGGAGGGCUCUGCCCGUCAGGGCUAUGCCCCUGCGGCUACUGCCGUGGGUCGAGAACGCCGAUUAGACAAAGAUAGAUUUCAUUCUUUCUGAGAUUAACCCUAGGUCCGUUAAGAUGAAUGUAUACUAUCUUCAAAUUGGACCUAGUCAAAAAUUAAGCUCAAAGACAGGCUAGGAGAUGCAGACCUCGGUGCAGGAGAGAGGAGCCAUUUUUAGGGCGUCAUCAUCUCUAUUCUUUAGGCCAGCCUGUUGUUUUAAACAGAAUUCGGAUUUUGGAACAAGGAGAACUGAUCACUCGACUUUUCCACCAAACAGCAUUUUAGACCUCUAGCCUCUUACCCUUUUUUACUAUAUUUUUGAGUUUUCAAUCGAGAGAACUUCGAGACUGAAUAAUUUUUGCUCUAUUGAGAAUGAGAAACAUGGUACAACAAUUUCUGAAGAAAAUCUUGUCACGGAUGGAGUGUGGAAAGGAGCAGGGCGACCAAGUGCAGCUUGGACCAGGGUUCAUUGGAGGAACUCAAAACACAGACUUGCGGAAGCUACAUGGG